rnacentral:rRNA from 1 species
GACGAGCGCUGGCGGCGUGCUUAACACAUGCAAGUCGAACGGAAAGGCCCUGCUUUUGUGGGGUGCUCGAGUGGCGAACGGGUGCGUAACACGUGAGUAACCUGCUCUUGACUUUGGGAUAACUUCAGGUAACUGGGGCUAAUACCGGAUAGGAGCUCCUGCUGCAUGGUGGGGGUUGGAAAGUUUCGGCGGUUGUGGAUGGACUCGCGGCUUAUCAGCUUGUUGGUGGGGUAGUGGCUUACCAAGGCAUUGACGGGUAGCCGGCCUGAGAGGGUGACCGGCCACAUUGGGACUGAGAUACGGCGCAGACUCCUACGGUAGGCAGCAGUGGGGAAUAUUGCACAAUGGGCGGAAGCCGGAUGCAGCAACGCCGCGUGCGGGAUGACGGCCUGCUGGUUGUAAACCGCAUUCGCCUGUGACGAAGCGUGAGUGACGGUAAUGGGUAAAGAAGCACCGGCUAACUACGUG